UACGUAGGGGGCAAGCGUUAUCCGGAUUUACUGGGUGUAAAGGGAGCGUAGGUGGCAAGGCAAGCCAGAAGUGAAAACCCGGGGCUUAACCCCGCGGAUUGCUUUUGGAACUGUCUGGCUGGAGUGCAGGAGGGGCAGGCGGAAUUCCUAGUGUAGCGGUGAAAUGCGUAGAUAUUAGGAGGAACACCGGUGGCGAAGGCGGCCUGCUGGACUGUAACUGACACUGAGGCACGAAAGCGUGGGGAGCAAACAGG
rnacentral:rRNA from 1 species